AGCAGGUGUAAGAGCACAUUGGAUUAACCUGUUUGAGAACAUUCUGGAUUCAUCUUUGACUUUGCAAUCAUGGAAAUCAUUGGAGUUUCACGAAAUCUUCUGGUGUUUAUAUCAGUUCUGUAUCUGACCAGUGCAACAACAACACUACCAACAACAACAACAACACUACCAACAACAACAACAACAACACAACCAACAACAACAAUAACAACAACACCACCAACAACAACACCA